rnacentral:rRNA from 1 species
UACGUAGGGACCAAGCGUUGUUCGGAUUUACUGGGCGUAAAGGGCGCGUAGGCGGCUUAACAAGUCAUCUGUGAAAUCUCCGGGCUUAACCCGGAACGGUCAGAUGAUACUGCUUUGCUAGAGUGCGGAAGGGGCAAUCGGAAUUCUCGGUGUAGCGGUGAAAUGCGUAGAUAUCGAGAGGAACACCAGAGGUGAAGACGGGUUGCUGGGCCGACACUGACGCUGAUAGCGCGAAAGCCAGGGGAGCAAACGGG